GUUUACCCGAGUCUGCGUUAGGGAUAGAAGUGGUAUCCUUUUUUGUGGCUUUUUCUGCCACAAAAAAGAUAUAGCGGAUAGCCCGGCCGGAG
rnacentral:sRNA from 1 species